AUGCUUGUUGAGACAAACAAGCAUGAACAAUAUCAUAUUGUUUACAAACUUCUUAAGUUGGUAUUGAUUCUGCCAGUAGCUAUUGCUAGUGUUGAAAGGGUAUUCUCUUGAAUGAGCUAUGUGAAAAAUAAGCUAAGGAACAAAAUGGGUUAUGAAUAUUUGAACAAUUGUUUGGUUAUACUUGUUGAGAGAGAAUUUUUCAAUCAAGUGAAGGAUGAAGAUGUCAUCAAUCUCUUCCAAAAAGGCGACCACAAAGUUAUAUUAUAA
rnacentral:rRNA from 1 species